UCACGUGACCUUCAGGUAUCAGCUGACUCAAACACCGUUGACCUAUUUUUCAAGAUAUUUGCAUAUAUCAACAGAUUUAUAUAUUUGUAAAUUAUGUUACCUGCCGGCUAGUCGAAGAUACAUUAUAGUUUUGUUUUUGUCAGUGAAUGUUGCUUUGUUUCACGGGUAAGUUGACGCGCAGCACACGGACACAAUACGUCUCUUAUGUUUAUCAAGGUCAUCUUAGCCAAGGGGGGGGGGGGCAUGUGAGAGAUAAUCCAUCAGUAGGUAAAAUGUUUAUCUACCAUCCAGUUACUAGCCUUCGUGGAUGGUAUUUACCCUGACUGUGCAGACAAUAACGUACUCUACUAGUAUUUACCUAUUAUGUCCACAGGGUCCAGCAAUAGCUCCCUAGCCACGAAAUUAACAUUUGUUAAACAAAUCCACAAGGGCCGUGAUGAGGGUUUGAACCUAUGUCUCAGAGGAUCCCAGAAGUGUCUUAAUCUGUGUUUAACUAUAUUUGUUCUUCAUAUUGCGUGAGUGACAUCUAUAUUAGUUUUCGUCGCGGCCUUUGCCACUGUAGGAAGUCUGAGAGGAGGGGGAGGGGUGAGUGGGCCUUAGAGGGGGUGACACAGGUGUAAAGAGGCAGAGGAGUACAGGUGUUAUGGCUCUUCACACCUGCGCUCCACCAUAAGUGUAGCGAGGCUGGCAGAGAUCGGAGCACUGCUGAUGGCUGACACAGACCCAGGUCACUGCUGGGGCACACUACCUGCGUCAGGAGACGUCCACCGGACGGGGCACCUACAAGACACUUCAACCCGGACCCACCUGUGCCAACGGCUCUCCCAAGAAGACUAUUACAACACUGUCAAGUUCGCUAUCGGGUACCAAGAGCUGCAGAAGCGCUGGUCUACAGGCUGGGGACUCCAGGGGCACAGAGACUCCCUCCAGGGGCACAGAGACUCCCUCCAAUGGCAUAGGAACGUACUGCUGGAACGGGAAGACGAACCUUGGUGGCAUAGAGACACGUUCCAGAAGCAUAGAGAAACAAAGGGGACGCGUCACAGGAAAAACAGCCUUCAUCUGCCCAUCAGGGAGUUAGCGAUACCUACAGCAUACCCCGAGGAAUAUGUGGGCGAGGCUGCCUCCAGCUCGCGGUUGUGGGACUCUAUGGCGGGAAACAUGUCUUUAGGGAGGCCGUCGUCCCUCUUGUCUACACUAUCCUCAUCUUCAGGAGACUCAUCCCCGUACUCAGAGGACUCGUCCCCUUCCUCAGAGGGGUCAUAUCCCUCACCAGGAGCCUCGUCUCCAUACGCCACCCUCAGCGCUCUCGGUCGAGCUCAUGAAAUGGAAAAUACCAGCGUCCAAGAAACGUUGUGUACGUCGUCCCCUAAAUGUGCGUCAUUUCCCGUUGGUACGUCGUCGCAAGGGUCGUGUGGUGGGGACGACGGGGUCGUCGAUGGGGAGGGAACACACAGCGAGUACGGCGACGACUCCUGCAGCAGCAGCAACAAGGGAAGAUGGACGGAGAUAUUGGAGAAAUUACGAGGAGUGCUACGUAACUUGAAGCGUCAGCCUCCACUUACACCAACACCCUCCGCUCUCCACACCCAGGUGUGCGAGCUACAGGCGGAGCUGCAGGUCUACAAGCAGCUCUCAGAGACCAAGAGGCGCUCUGCUGACCUUCUCAAGCAUCAGCUGAUGGAGGUGCUGUACGAGCAGGUGGUGAGCCAGCUGGAGCACAAGCAGAGGCGGCGGCAGCUGGAGGAGGAGGUGGUGGCGCUGGAGUUUGAGGUCCACCUGCUGAGGGGGUCAUCCCAUCAUGACCUCCAUGACCUCAGCAACCCCACCUUCAGAGAAGAAACCCCUAGACCAAGAGCCUCAUCGUCCCCGCCUGAUUCAUGACAUCACCCAGGACAGUGAUGUCACACAUCACACCGCUCCUAUCACACCUCUCCACCACUACUACUCUAAUGACUAGGGUGUGCGGCAGUUGUGGAGAGAGCAGCACAGCUUUUACUGACUGUAGAUGUAGUAUACAUAGAUACAGUAUAAAGUAAAUGUAGCAUAUAUAUGGAGUUUGCUGAAGCUUUUGAUGAAGUACCACAUGAAAGACUAUCAAGGAAAUUACAGGCACGUGGAAUAAAUGGCAGAAUACUAGAAUGGACAAAACAAUGGUUAAAACAAAGAAAGCAAAAGGUCACCCUAAACUGAAAUGGUGAGUGCAGUCCCGCAAGGGUCUAUUUUAGGGCAAACCCUUUUUUGUAUACAUCAAAGACAUACGGUAGAUGAAAAUAUUACAAAUAAUACAACUCGCUAAUGUAGUAAGAGAUUGCUCAGUCUAUAUACUUAAUUUAAAAAUAGAAGAGCGAAGUACCCAAUUUCCUCGCCUUCGUAUCCUACCUUGUGCUUCUAACUCAUUCAAAGACUUUACUAUCUUGAAAUAUAUCUACAUCAAAAUAAUUUAUCAUUAUCACCACCUUACCCGAUUAAUAUUACGGUAAUAUAGUAAUUACGGUAUGUAAGUCCCCAUUUGUUUCAUUAUGUACGUGUCGAUACUUUUAUAUCUUGUUCAAGAUUGACUGUUUCACCUUGUCACUUGUAAAUUUGUUUCAAACUUGGUUAAAGCUGUAUGUAGUACUGUAAUAUAUUUCAAUACUGUAAUGGUUAAUGUUGUGUAGCUGAAUCUAUAUGGAAUAUGUUA
rnacentral:misc_RNA from 1 species